ensembl:lncRNA
GUGUAGUUUAAGAACAUAAUAUAACAGUUAACAGUUAAUAUGUACAACACAUGGUGGGAUAGAUUUGGUUGUUUGAAGCAUUAAUAAUUUUUUGAGAAAUCUAUAAACUUAUCUUAAUGUUCUGUAAAUAUUUAAUCUUUUUUGUUGAUCAGGUGUAUAGUUAUGUCACAUUUAGAGUGGUCUACAGUAUUUAGCCGUGUAUCUUUUGAGCUUUUAAAAAAUGUAUAUAAUUUAUAUGAUCCAGGUGUCGGGAAGAGGAUUAUGUGGUGCAUCACACUGGACAGCAGCAAAAGAACUGGCCAAGAAAUCAAGCAGCAAACUGGAUGAGGAGGGAUUAGAGAUUGCUGUCUGUCGCCAUGGCGUUCUCCUUAUGGCCUUGAAUAUGUUUCGAGGGGAAAUUUUUGCUUACCCCCUUUUUCUGCAGAAAAAACUUGCAGACAUGUCACAGGGGAGCAUCAAAUUCUUCUGUUCAGAUGUAGCCUGCAAAUACUUCCCAUAUCUCCGGCGUAUUUCUAAGCACUUCCCCGAGCUGCAGUCUUUACUGGACAUGCAUCCUUUUCUGUCAGUGAUGCAUGCCAAAGCACACUCUUGGAAAUGUGAGGUACAUUACCAUGUGUUUUAAGUAUGUUAUUCUAAGAAAUAAUAUAAAAUAUACAUAAAAAAUUUGAGUGCAUUGUUUUUGUCGGAUUUGAAAACUUGUUAGGUCAAGUAUAGUGGGGCCUACCAGGAAGGAGCUGGGUCAACUAUUGGUGAGGAAGUGGAGCAGGUGAACAGCUUCCUAUCUAGAAUUGCUGUUACAAGCAAAUACAUGUCAAAAUCUGGUAUGUUGAAUAAGGUAUGAUUUUAUGCAGAAUGCCUUUUGUUAUAUACACAUGUCUCAUUACAUUUUCUACUAUUUCUGUUAUAGGCCGAGCAGACAUGAUUACAAUGCAAGCCAUGUUGUGGAAUAAGCAGAAGAUUCUCAAUUUGGGACAAGCUCUGGUUAACAGAUAUGUAAAGACUCAGAAGGCUCUGCAAAUGCAGCAACACAGCUUGGAAGAACUGAAGACAGAGCGUUCACUGCAUGAAGAUUGUGUUCAUCAGUGGGUUUCAGAUGUUCAACAAUGGGUAGAAGAUAGCAACAAGCGGCGCCAUUCUUUGCGCCUCAGAAGGAGUGAAGAGAAAAAGAAGCUAGUUGCUGCAGUGGAAGAGUACAACAGCAUAGCAGAUCCAUCCCAGAAGCUUGGCUCAGUUGAAGACUUCUUCACAGCUGAAACUGUUGCUUGGCCUUGGCAAAUCCCUAGCAGUACUGAAUCGGCUCCCUUUCUCACCAAGAGGAAGGUGUUUGACAAGGUGAUGGCAGUGAGACGCCUUCAGGAAGAGAGAGGUCUAAUUCAGGGGUUCCCAAACUUUUAAGCCUGCGACCCCCAAGAUAAAUGCGCUGCUGCCCCGCGACACCGCACCCCCCCCCCCUCCCCUCAACAACCCCUUUUUUUGGAGCCUCCAAACACCUUUAACUUUAGCAAACAGCGGGAUACGUUGUGUUGCUGCGCGUGAUGUACGUACGUAACUUAAUUGUGAUUGACGCUGACGUAAUCUCGUAAUGUCUGGGACAAAAUUACAAAUUGAAUUAAUAUAUAUAUACAUAUAUAUAUUUUUUUUUUUGUUUGUUUUUUUUUUUAUCAUACUUUUCUGCAAACACCAUUUAACAAGUAUUAAAUUAAAGCUCUGAGCGCGCCUGUCUCUGGCUCAGCGCCAGCCAACGCGCGAGAGCACGUUUGAAUUUCACGUCAUGCACUGACCGGUGUGAUCGUACACUCCAGGGACCAGCCUAGACUGAUCACACCGGUGUGAUCGUACACUCCAGGGACCAGCCUAGACUGAUCACACCGGUGUGAUCGUACACUCCAGGGACCAGCCUAGACUGAUCACACCGGUGUGAUCGUACACUCCAGGGACCAGCCUAGACUGAUCACACCGGUGUGAUCGUACACUCCAGGGACCAGCCUAGACUGAUCACACCGGUGUGAUCGUACACUCCAGGGACCAGCCUAGACUGAUCACACCGGUGUGAUCGUACACUCCAGGGACCAGCCUAGACUGAUCACACCGGUGUGAUCGUACACUCCAGGGACCAGCCUAGACUGAUCACACCGGUGUGAUCGUACACUCCAGGGACCAGCCUAGACUGAUCACACCGGUGUGAUCGUACACUCCAGGGACCAGCCUAGACUGAUCACACCGGUGUGAUCGUACACUCCAGGGACCAGCCUAGACUGAUCACACCGGUGUGAUCGUACACUCCAGGGACCAGCCUAGACUGAUCACACCGGUGUGAUCGUACACUCCAGGGACCAGCCUAGACUGAUCACACCGGUGUGAUCGUACACUCCAGGGACCAGCCUAGACUGAUCAC